UUGCAGAAAUGGGUGCUCCUUGCAGCCCAAAACAGAACAGCGUGGCUAUGAGAUGAUGAGAUGCACUUGCUCUAUGUUUUGGACUGAAGGGAGCUCCCAGUUCUUCUGUU
rnacentral:pre_miRNA from 1 species